rnacentral:rRNA from 1 species
AUUGAACGCUUGCGGAAUGCUUUACACAUGCAAGUCGAACGGCAGCACGGGUGCUUGCACCAGGUGGCGAGUGGCGAACGGGUGAGUAAUAUAUCGGAACGUAUCCAAUAAUGGGGGAUAACUAGCCGAAAGGUUAGCUAAUACCGCAUACGCCCUGCGGGGGCAAGCUGGGGAUCGUAAGACCAAGCGUUCAUGGAGCGGCCGAGAGCGGAUUAGCCGGGUGGUGGGGUAAGAGCCUACCAAGGCGACGAUCAGGAGCUGGUAUGAGAGGACGACAAGCCACACUGGAACUGAGACCCGGUCCAGACUCCGACGGGAGGCAGCAGUGGGGAAUUUUGGACAAUGGGGGCAACCCUGAUCCAGCCAUUCCGCGUGAGUGAAGAAGGCCUUCGGGUUGUAAAGCUCUUUCGCAAGGGAAGAAAACUCGAUCUCUAAUAUAGGUUGAGGCUGACGGUACCUUGAUAAGAAGCACCGGCUAACUACGUGCCAGCAGCCGCCGUAA